GUAGUCUCGCACAGAUGCAUAUCAAUAAGCGGAGGAAAAGAAACUAACAAGGAUUCCCCUAGUAACGGCGAGUGAAGCGGGAAGAGCUCAAAUUUGAAAUCUUAAAGGGUUUCCCUUUACGAAUUGUAGUUUAAAGAAGUGUUUUCUGUUGAGGUUUUGGUAAAAGUUCUUUGGAAUAGGACAUCAUAGAGGGUGAGAAUCCCGUAUUUGACCUUUACUUUCAACUUUGUGAUACACUUUCAAAGAGUCGGAUUGUUUGGGAAUGCAGUCCAAAAUGGGUGGUAAAUUUCAUCUAAAGCUAAAUAUUGGCGAGAGACCGAUAGCGAACAAGUACCGUGAGGGAAAGAUGAAAAGAACUUUGAAAAGAGAGUUAAACAGUACGUGAAAUUGUCAAAAGGGAAGCGUUUGACACCAGUGUUGUUUUUCUGAAAAUCAAUUAAAGAACUGUUUAUGCUAAGUUGUUUAGACUUUAUCAGCUAACUGUUUAGUUUUGAGCUUUUCUUUAAUGCACUUUUCAGUUAACAAGUCAACAUCAAUUUCUUUUGCUGUAAAAAAGCUUGAGGAAGGGUGGCUUGAGAUUCGUCUUAAGUGUUUAUAGCCUCUUGCCUAUGCAGUCGGAGAGAUUGAGGUCUGCAGCGUAGAUCCUUCGGGGCUAAAUGCAUUUGUGCUAAGUUAUAGCAUUUUAUAGACAACUUGUUGACUAUGAUUUGUCUUGUAGCUUACUCGCUUAUGUUAUUUUACCUACGCUUAGGAUGUUGAACUACUGAGACAUAGA
rnacentral:rRNA from 1 species